AUUCUAUGGUGCAGACAUGCUAGAAUGUACUCCUGGAGUCUCUCCCAAGCUUCAGGAAUUGACACAAUUGAUGCCUGCUAGAAAUUCAAAAUCUGACCAUGAAGAGC